AUCAGCUACACACCCUUCCUCAGUUAAUUCCAUUCAGCUACACAGAGCCUUCCCUCAGGUAAUCCAUUCAGCUACACACAGCCUUCCCUCAGGUUAAUUCCAUUCAGCUACACAGAGCCUUCCCUCAGGGUAAUUCCAUUCAGCUACACACAGCCUUCCCUUGGGGUAAUUCCAUCACUACACAGACCCUUCCCUGGGGUAAUACAUUCAGCUACACACAGCUUCCUCAGGGUAAUUCCA
rnacentral:lncRNA from 1 species